GAGUGGCGAACUGGUGAGUAACACGUGGGAAACCUGCCCAGAAGCGGGGGAUAACACCUGGAAACAGAUGCUAAUACCGCAUAACAACUUGGACCGCAUGGUCCGAGUUUGAAAGAUGGCUUCGGCUAUCACUUUUGGAUGGUCCCGCGGCGUAUUAGCUAGAUGGUGGGGUAACGGCUCACCAUGGCAAUGAUACGUAGCCGACCUGAGAGGGUAAUCGGCCACAUUGGGACUGAGACACGGCCCAAACUCCUACGGGAGGCAGCAGUAGGGAAUCUUCCACAAUGGACGAAAGUCUGAUGGAGCAACGCCGCGUGAGUGAAGAAGGGUUUCGGCUCGUAAAACUCUGUUGUUAAAGAAGAACAUAUCUGAGAGUAACUGUUCAGGUAUUGACGGUAUUUAACCAGAAAGCCACGGCUAACUACGUGCCAGCAGCCGCGGUAAUACGUAGGUGGCAAGCGUUGUCCGGAUUUAUUGGGCGUAAAGCGAGCGCAGGCGGUUUUUUAAGUCUGAUGUGAAAGCCUUCGGCUCAACCGAAGAAGUGCAUCGGAAACUGGGAAACUUGAGUGCAGAAGAGGACAGUGGAACUCCAUGUGUAGCGGUGAAAUGCGUAGAUAUAUGGAAGAACACCAGUGGCGAAGGCGGCUGUCUGGUCUGUAACUGACGCUGAGGCUCGAAAGUAUGGGUAGCAAACAGGAUUAGAUACCCUGGUAGUCCAUACCGUAAACGAUGAAUGCUAAGUGUUGGAGGGUUUCCGCCCUUCAGUGCUGCAGCUAACGCAUUAAGCAUUCCGCCUGGGGAGUACGGCCGCAAGGCUGAAACUCAAAGGAAUUGACGGGGGCCCGCACAAGCGGUGGAGCAUGUGGUUUAAUUCGAAGCUACGCGAAGAACCUUACCAGGUCUUGACAUACUAUGCAAAUCUAAGAGAUUAGACGUUCCCUUCGGGGACAUGGAUACAGGUGGUGCAUGGUUGUCGUCAGCUCGUGUCGUGAGAUGUUGGGUUAAGUCCCGCAACGAGCGCAACCCUUAUUAUCAGUUGCCAGCAUUAAGUUGGGCACUCUGGUGAGACUGCCGGUGACAAACCGGAGGAAGGUGGGGAUGACGUCAAAUCAUCAUGCCCCUUAUGACCUGGGCUACACACGUGCUACAAUGGAUGGUACAACGAGUUGCGAACUCGCGAGAGUAAGCUAAUCUCUUAAAGCCAUUCUCAGUUCGGAUUGUAGGCUGCAACUCGCCUACAUGAAGUCGGAAUCGCUAGUAAUCGCGGAUCAGCAUGCCGCGGUGAAUACGUUCCCGGGCCUUGUACACACCGCCCGUCACACCAUGAGAGUUUGAACACCCAAAGUCGGUGGGGAACCUUUAGGAACCAG
rnacentral:rRNA from 1 species